rnacentral:rRNA from 1 species
UUCCGGUUGAUCCUGCCGGACCCCACUGCUAUCGGGGUGGGACUAAGACAUGCUAGUCGUGCACCUCCAGGCCACGGUGGAGGCGCGGCGCACAGCUCAGUAACACGUGGCUAACCUACCCUUGGGACGGAAAUAACCCCGGGAAACUGGGGCUAAUUUCCGAUAGGUGAAGAUUCCUGGAAUGGAUCUUCGCCGAAAAGGCGUCUAGACCAUGCUUCUAGGCGCUGCCCAAGGAUGGGGCCGCGGCCGAUCAGGUUGUUGGUGAGGUAACGGCUCACCAAGCCUAUAACCGGUACGGGCCGUGGGAGCGGUAGCCCGGAGAUGGGCACUGAGACAAGGGCCCAGGCCCUACGGGGCGCAGCAGUCGCGAAACCUCCGCAAUACGCGAAAGCGUGACGGGGUCAUCCCGAGUGCCGUCCGCUGAGGAUGGCUUUUCCCCAGUGUAGACAGCUGGGGGAAUAAGGAGAGGGCAAGUCGGGUGUCAGCCGCCGCGGUAAUACCCGCUCUCCGAGUGGUGGGGACGCUUAUUGGGCCUAAAGCAUCCGUAGCCGGCUGGACAAGUCCCCUGUUAAAUCCAGCGAUUUAGUCGUUGGACUGCGGGGGAUACUGUCCGGCUAGGGGGCGGGAGAGGCCGACGGUAUUUCCGGGGUAGGGGUGAAAUCCUAUAAUCCCGGGAGGACCACCAGUGGCGAAGGCUGUCGGCUAGAACGCGCCCGACGGUGAGGGAUGAAAGCUGGGGGGAGCGAACCGGA